ensembl:lncRNA
UGCCUGUGAUCUGAGGACAACCAGCCAGUGUCUAUCCCCUCCUCUGCUACUGGGCCAGACACACGAGUGCGCACACACACACACACCCUACAGGUUCGGAUUUGGUCCGGUCCGUCUGUGGACGUUAACAUCAAGGCCAGGGUGGACUGACCAACUUUCAACUACUUUUCAACGUCCAUGGACAUCAGGUGUCGGUCGGUGCACAGUGGGUGAGGCUGAUGCUCACAGUAAAUGGAAAGAGAGGGGACUCGUGGUUAGGUGUCUAAGAGCUGGGAGAGGUGACAUUUAACUGGAGAGAGACAGACAGGGAGGGGAGGGGUUGCUGAACAUAACAGUAUGGAAGAGGGAGGACCGUAGAAGGUGACCCAACUGUGGUUUGUGACUAUUAUGAUUUCCCAUUGUAUCCAAUUCAGUU